AAACUGAAGAGUUUGAUCCUGGCUCAGAUUGAACGCUGGCGGCAUGCUUUACACAUGCAAGUCGAACGGCAGCAUGACGUGUAGCAAUACACGUUGAUGGCGAGUGGCGAACGGGUGAGUAAUAUAUCGGAACGUGCCCUGUAGCGGGGGAUAACCUAUCGAAAGAUGGACUAAUACCGCAUACGCUCUACGGAGGAAAGCGGGGGUCGCAAGACCUCGCACUAUAGGAGCGGCCGAUAUCGGAUUAGCUAGUUGGCGGGGUAAAGGCCCACCAAGGCGACGAUCCGUAGCUGGUCUGAGAGGAUGAUCAGCCACACUGGAACUGAGACACGGUCCAGACUCCUACGGGAGGCAGCAGUGGGG
rnacentral:rRNA from 1 species